rnacentral:rRNA from 1 species
UUGAUCCUGGCUCAGAAUCAACGCUGGCGGCGUGCCUCAGACAUGCAAGUCGAACGAUUAAAGCUCUCUUCGGAGAGUGUAUAGAGUGGCGCACGGGUGUGUAACACGUAAGUAAUCUACCCUCGAGUGGGGAAUAACGUCCGGAAACGUACGCUAAUACCGCAUAAUGCAGCGGCACCGCAAGGUGACAGUUGUUAAAUGAGAAAUUCGCUUGAGGAGGAGCUUGCGGCAGAUUAGCUUGUUGGUAAGUUAACGGCUUACCAAGGCUACGAUCUGUAACCGGUCUUAGAGGACGGUCGUUCACACUGACACUGAAUAACGGGUCAGACUCCUACGGGAGGCAGCAGUCUGGAAUUUUGGGCAAUGGGCGAAAGCCUGACCCAGCAACGCCGCGUGAAGUAUGAAGUAUUUCGGUAUGCAAACUUCGAAAGAAUAGGAAGAAUAAAUGAUGGUACUAUUUAUAAGGUCCGGCUAACUACGUGCCAGCAGCCGCGGUAAUUAGGU